rnacentral:rRNA from 1 species
UACGGGGGGGGGCAAGCGUUGUUCGGAAUUACUGGGCGUAAAGGGCUCGUAGGCGGCCAACUAAGUCGGAUGUGAAAUCCCCAGGCUUAACCUGGGAACUGCCUUCGAUACUGGAAGACUUGAGUCCGGGAGAGGUGAGUGGAACUGCGAGUGUAGAGGUGAAAUUCGUAGAUAUUCGCAAGAACACCAGUGGCGAAGGCGGCUCACUGGCCCGGUACUGACGCUGAGGUGCGAAAGCGUGGGGAGCAAACAGG